rnacentral:tRNA from 1 species
GGCCUAGUGGAAUAAUGGUUAGCAUGCUGGACUCAGGACUGAGUGGUCUGGGUUUGAGCCCUGGCUGGGGUCA